GUGCUCACUUUGGCAGCACAUAUACUAAAAUUGGAAUGAUACAGAGAAGAUUGGCACGGCCCCUGCACAAAGAUGACACACAAAUUUGUGAAGCAUUCCAUAUUUUU
rnacentral:snRNA from 1 species